rnacentral:pre_miRNA from 1 species
UUGAAGAAUUUGAAGACUUCAACUUGCAGAAUUAAAGAAUUUGAAGACCUCAACUUGCAAACUUGGAGGACUUUGAAGACUUUAAUU